CACAGAGACAGGACUGAUUAAUAUAACUUCACAAUUUCCCCAGCCAUGUGAUCUUCUAUUUACAAUGACCAUGUGCAUGAGGUCUGAUAAACAGGCUCAGAGACAGUUUCUACUAAAUCAAAUCAAAGUUUAUUGGUCACGUACACAGAUUUGUAGACGUUAUAGCAGGUGCAGCGAAACACUUGUGUUUCUAGCUCCAACAGCACAGUAAUACCUAGCAAUAAAAACGAAAACAAAACAAUCCAGAAUUGUUUUUAUAUUAAGUUAUAUAGUAUGAGCCAUGACUAGAAUACAGUAUACAUCAAUUGGGUGAAACAGUACUAGCCGGGCCUCCUGAGUGACACAGUGGUCUAAGGCACUACAGACCUGGGUUCAAUCCCAGGCUGUGUCGCAGCCGGCAGACUUAUGAGGCGGCGCACAAUUGGCCCUGAGUCGUCUGUGUUAGGGGAGGGUUUGGCUGGCCGGGAUGUCCUCCUCCCAUCGCACUCUAGCGACUCCUUGUGGCUGGCCCGGGCGCAUGCACACUGACUUCGGUCACCAAAUGUACAGUGUUUCCUCCGGCACAUUUAGCGCGGAUGGCUUCUGGGUUAAGCGAGCAGUGUCUCAAGAACCAGUGCGGCUUGGCGGGGUCGUGUUUCAGAGGAUGCAUGGCUAUCUACCUUCGGCUCUCCUGAGUCUGGGAGUUGCAGCGAUGGGACAAGACUGUAACUAACAAUUGGAUAUCACGAAAUUGGGGAAAAAAGGGACAAAAGUACAAAAAAUCAACUACUACAAGCUAUCUGACUAGUGAACAAGAUAACUGAACCAACCACCUGCUCUGAUUCUCUGCACCUAAUCGCACAUGCAUUCUCUCACGCACGCACCCGCACAGACAUGCACACAUCCAUGCUACACACACUACAACUGCUGCUACCAGACUCAUUAUUAUUGCUAAAUACCACACAAUUUAAACAUUUUCCCCCAAUCCCCCUUCCCCAAAACAUGUGUAAAUAUUGGACUAUAAAUUGUGCCCAUCUGUAUUGUACUUACGCUAAAAUGUGUAUUCUAUUCUACUGAGCCAUUUACUUUAUGUUCGUAUUCUUAUAUUUUCUUUUUGUUGUUGCAUUAUCGAGAAGGAAGCUGCAAGUAAGCAUUUCGUUGGACAGUGUAUUCCAAGUGUAGACCGGGCAUACAGCUGAUAAACCUGCCAUGGGUGAAUAAAGAGUGCUAGCCUAAUCUCGGUUAAGCCAGAACUAAAAGCUUGCAUAAUUUGGUCAGAUGCUCAACCAUUGAUGUUUACAUAAUAUGUCCACGAGAGCUUAAGCCUAGCCUGUAAUUCCCAAGAGUUACUGCAGAAGUCACCCUAAAAAUACACCGGUGUACCUAUAAUUCUCUCAUCAUCUUAGCUCGUAACUCACCCCAAGGCAGGUAAAUGAGGUGAGCAACUGUUCCCAUGUAAAAAAAAUGUUUUUAAAGUGUACAUUAAACUUUACCUCAAGAGCUGCAACAUCCCAUAUCUAGUGGCCAGGUCCCAUGGGGUGAGGGACACAAACACAUCCCAUAUCUAGUGGCCAGGUCCCAUGGGGUGAGGGACACAAACACAUCCCAUAUCUAGUGGCCAGGUCCCAUGGGGUGAGGGACACAAACACAUCCCAUAUCUAGUGGCCAGGUCCCAUGGGGUGAGGGACACAAACACAUCCCAUAUCUAGUGGCCAGGUCCCAUGGGGUGAGGGACACAAACACAUCCCAUAUCUAGUGGCCAGGUCCCAUGGGGUUAGGGACACAAACACAUCCCAUAUCUAGUGGCCAGGUCCCAUGGGGUUAGGGACACAAACACAUCCCAUAUCUAGUGGCCAGGUCCCAUGGGGUGAGGGACACAAACACAUCCCAUAUCUAGUGGCCAGGUCCCAUGGGGUGAGGGACACAAACACAUCCCAUAUCUAGUGGCCAGGUCCCAUGGGGUUAGGGACACAAA